rnacentral:rRNA from 1 species
UACGAAGGGGGCGAGCGUUGUUCGGAAUUACUGGGCGUAAAGGGUGUGUAGGCGGUUUAUUAAGAUAGUGGUGAAAUGCCAGGGCUCAACCUUGGAACUGCCAUUAUUACUAGUAGGCUAGAAUGAUGUAGAGGAUAGCGGAAUACCCAGUGUAGAGGUGAAAUUCGUAGAUAUUGGGUAGAACACCAGAGGCGAAGGCGGCUAUCUGGGCAUCUAUUGACGCUGAGGCA